CGGGAUAUGGCGCAGCUUGGUAGCGCGCUUGCAUGGGGUGCAAGAGGCCGCAGGUUCGAAUCCUGUUAUCCCGACCA
rnacentral:tRNA from 1 species